AUUGAACGCUGGCGGAAUGCUUUACACAUGCAAGUCGAACGGCAGCACGAGGGCAACCUUGGUGGCGAGUGGCGAACGGGUGAGUAAUACAUCGGAACGUGCCCAGUCGUGGGGGAUAACGUAGCGAAAGCUACGCUAAUACCGCAUACGGUCUAUGGAUGAAAGCGGGGGACCGUAAGGCCUCGCGCGAUUGGAGCGGCCGAUGGCAGAUUAGGUAGUUGGUGGGGUAAAGGCUCACCAAGCCUGCGAUCUGUAGCUGGUCUGAGAGGACGACCAGCCACACUGGAACUGAGACACGGUCCAGACUCCUACGGGAGGCAGCAGUGGGGAAUUUUGGACAAUGGGCGCAAGCCUGAUCCAGCCAUUCCGCGUGCAGGAUGAAGGCCUCGGUUGUUAACGUAGUACGUUUGUUACGGUAAC
rnacentral:rRNA from 1 species